UGUGACAUCAGAAAGGACCUCAUGGUGAUUUUUGCCUGGGUGGGGACAGCAGAACAUUUGGCUGUUAUGGAACAUGUUGAUACUACGACACAGAGAAGAAGAGCACGAAGAAGCUGAGAACCUACUGGGCUACUCAGAAUGUAGUCUACCUACUCUUUCCGAGGGAAAGAAAAUAACAGUUUUCAGAAACAAGCCGUCCCUUCCAUUUUUAGCCUCCCUAUAGAGCUUGAAGCAUACGGACUCAGUUCCAAAUUAGCCAAGGAGAAGAACAAACCUGUACACGCUUUCCCUACAAGGUCUGGAAAGAAGUUGCUGAAUGCGACCAGAGACACACCCAAGUGGAAGCUGAGCCCAAUAACUCUUUAGAAAAGACUUCCUGGGGCAAUCUGAUCCAAGCCAGCUCAGGCUUGAAUCUUCAUGCCCCAAAACCAGAGUGGUGAGAAAAUGUAAAGAAACAAUAUUUCCCAAAGUUCUAAACAAAAAUUUGAAGUCUAUUGUUGAUGAAAAACUGGCAUUCCAGAGGUGAAGACAGAAAUCAAGUCGUUCAGCGAAGGGAGCUGAGAAAAAUGUCAUUUUUUGCAAAGGUGGGAAGAAUACUAAACCUAAGGGGACGACUAAAACCUGAAUGAGUCAAAAACAGAGCCUCUUGGGACCAGAUGGAGAAAAUGUGGACGAAGCAACUCCUGGCUCCGAAGACAUGCUCAUGAAUAAAAGCCAAUUGCUGAACUACAGAGGUCCCAUUUUGGGAAACUGUACCAAUUCAAGUACAGUAAAAAUUGAAUUGUAGACAAAGAAGCCUUACAAGAAAAAUUCAACUAAAACCAAAGUAUUUUUAAAAAUAAAUUUAUGCAUGCAAACAAGA